UACGUAGGGUGCGAGCGUUGUCCGGAAUUAUUGGGCGUAAAGAGCUCGUAGGCGGUUUGUCGCGUCGGGAGUGAAAACUCGGGGCUUAACUCCGAGCCUGCUUCCGAUACGGGCAGACUAGAGGUAUGCAGGGGAGAACGGAAUUCCUGGUGUAGCGGUGAAAUGCGCAGAUAUCAGGAGGAACACCGGUGGCGAAGGCGGUUCUCUGGGCAUUACCUGACGCUGAGGAGCGAAAGUGUGGGGAGCGAACAGG
rnacentral:rRNA from 1 species